rnacentral:rRNA from 1 species
UACAGAGGGUGCAAGCGUUGUUCGGAAUUACUGGGCGUAAAGCGCGCGUAGGCGGCUUUGCAAGUCGGGUGUGAAAUCCCCAGGCUUAACCUGGGAACUGCAUUCGAGACUGCAUUGCUAGAGUAUGGGAGAGGGAAGUGGAAUUUCCGGUGUAGCGGUGAAAUGCGUAGAUAUCAGGAGGAACACCGAUGGCGAAGGCAGGUCUCUGGGCAUUAACUGACGCUGAGGAGCGAAAGCAUGGGGAGCGAACAGG